rnacentral:misc_RNA from 1 species
AAGUCGUAACAAGGUUUCCGUAGGUGAACCUGCGGAAGGAUCAUUAACACGAAUCUUUUUAUUUAUCCAAUAUUCAAACCAACCGUGAACUUAUCUCCUCCCUAUUUGUUGAAUCUUUGAAUUCUCAAUUCAGGACAAUUCAAAUAGGCUAACAAUAUAUUUUUAUUAACCCCAUUUUAUUUAUCUAUGAAUUUUGUCUAGUUAACUGUUCUAUACAGUUGCCAGUCAAAUAACUCUAUACUAUAUCCAACAAUGUAUCUUGUAUAUGUUGUUGUGUUAUUUAUUGUAUCUUACGAAACAAUUUAUCUAUAUUAACAACUCUUAACAAUGGAUAUCUUGGUUCUC